UACGAAGGGGGCUAGCGUUGCUCGGAAUCACUGGGCGUAAAGGGGGCGUAGGCGGGUCUUUAAGUCAGGGGUGAAAUCCUGGAGCUCAACUCCAGAACUGCCUUUGAUACUGAGGAUCUUGAGUUCGGGAGAGGUGAGUGGAACUGCGAGUGUAGAGGUGAAAUUCGUAGAUAUUCGCAAGAACACCAGUGGCGAAGGCGGCUCACUGGCCUGAUACUGACGCUGAGGCACGAAAGCGUGGGGAGCAAACAGG
rnacentral:rRNA from 1 species